rnacentral:rRNA from 1 species
AGCAGCCGCGGUAAUUCCAGCUCCAAUAGCGUAUAUUAAAGUUGUUGCAGUUAAAAAGCUCGUAGUUGAACUUCGGGGUUUACCCAUCGGUCAGGCUUAAUUGUCUGUACUGGUGAGAUAAAUCUCUACCUUCUGAGGAACUUUCAUGCCAUUUAUUUGGUGUGAUUGGAAAUCAGGACUAUUACUUUGAAAAAUUAGAGUGUUUAAAGCAGGCUAACGUCUGAAUAUAUUAGCAUGGAAUAAUGAAAUAGGACGGCUUGGUUCUAUUUCGUUGGUUUCUAGGAUCACCGUAAUGAUUAAUAGGGAUAGUUGGGGGCAUUAGUAUUCAAUUGUCAGAGGUGAAAUUCUUGGAUUUAUUGAAGACUAACUACUGCGAAAGCAUUUGCCAAGGAUGUUUUCAUUAAUCAAGAACGAAAGUUAGGGGAUCGAAGACGAUCAGAUACCGUCGUA